UGCGUAACACGUGGGCAACCUGCCCCUGACACUGGGAUAACCCCGGGAAACCGGAGCUAAUACCGGAUACUCUCGGCCGAUCACAUGGCUGGCCGAGGAAAGGUCCGCCGGUCGGGGAUGGGCCCGCGGCCUAUCAGCUUGUUGGUGAGGUAACGGCCCACCAAGGCGACGACGGGUAGCUGGUCUGAGAGGACGACCAGCCACACUGGAACUGAGAUACGGUCCAGACUCCUACGGGAGGCAGCAGUGGGGAAUAUUGCACAAUGGGCGAAAGCCUGAUGCAGCGACGCCGCGUGAGGGAUGAAGGCCUUCGGGUUGUAAACCUCUUUCGGCAGGGACGAAGCGAUCAGUGACGGUACCUGCAGAAGAAGCCCCGGCUAACUACGUGCCAGCAGCCGCGGUAAGACGUAGGGGGCGAGCGUUGUCCGGAUUCAUUGGGCGUAAAGCGCGCGUAGGCGGCUGCGCAAGUCGGGUGUGAAACCCCGGGGCUCAACCCCGGAACUGCAUCCGAUACUGCGUGGCUAGAGGUAGGUAGGGGAGAUCGGAAUUCCUGGUGUAGCGGUGAAAUGCGCAGAUAUCAGGAGGAACACCGGUGGCGAAGGCGGAUCUCUGGGCCUU
rnacentral:rRNA from 1 species